rnacentral:rRNA from 1 species
GAAACGACUGCUAAUACUGGAUAGGAAACAAAAAGGCAUCUUUUUGUUUUUAAAAGACCUUCUUACGAAGGUAUGCUUAAAGAGGGGCUUGCGCCACAUUAGUUAGUUGGUAGAGUAAAAGCCUACCAAGACGAUGAUGUGUAGCUGGACUGAGAGGUUGAACAGCCACAUUGGGACUGAGACACGGCCCAAACUCCUACGGGAGGCAGCAGUAGGGAAUUUUCGGCAAUGGAGGAAACUCUGACCGAGCAACGCCGCGUGAACGAUGAAGUAUUUCUGUAUGUAAAGUUCUUUUAUUGAAGAAAAAAAAGUAGUGGAAAAACUAUAUUGACGUUAUUCAAUGAAUAAGCCCCGGCUAACUAUGUGCCAGCAGCCGCGGUAAGACAUACGGGGCGAGCGUUAUCCGGAAUUAUUGGGCGUAAAGGGUGCGUAGGCUGUUAGAUAAGUCUAUAAUUUAAUUUCAGUGCUUAACGCUGUCUUGUUAUACAAACUGUCUUGACUAGAGUGAGAUAGAGGCAAGCGGAAUUCCAUGUGUAGCGGUAAAAUGUGUACAUAUAUGGAGGAACACCAGAAGCGUAGGCGGCUUGCUGGGUCUUUACUGACGCUGAGGCACGAAAGCGUGGGUAGCAAGCAGGAUUAGAUACCCUGGUAGUCCACGCCGUAAACGAUGAGUACUAAGUGUCGGGGUAAAACUCGAUACUGAAGUUAACACAUUAAGUACUCCGCCUGAGUAUUACGUACGCAAGUAUGAAACUUAGAGGAAUUGACCGGACUCCGCACAAGCGGUGGAUCAUGUUGUUUAAUUCAAAGAUACACCAAAAAUCUUACCAGGUCUUGACGGACUCUGCAAAGCUAUAGAAAUAUAGUGCAGGUUAUCAUGUAUACAGGUGGUGCAUGGCUGUCGUCAGUUCGUGACGUGACAUGUCAGGCUAAGUCCUAAAACGUACGCAGCCCUUAUCGUUAAUUGCCAGCACAUGAUGGUAGCGACUUUAACGAGACUGCCAACUAAACAUUGGACGAAGGUGAGGAUUACGUCGCAUCAUCAUGCUCCUUAUGAUCUGUGCUACCGACGUGAUACAAUGGCUGUGACUUAGAGUAGCAGAAACAAGAGUUUCUAGCCAAUCUCAAAAAAGCAGUCUCAGUUCGGAUUGAAGUCUGUAACUCGACUUCAUGAAGUUGGAAUCGCUAGUAAUCGCGAAUCAGCAUGUCGCGGUGAAUACGUUGCCGGGGUCUGUGCACACCGCCCGUCA